GAGCUCGUAGCUCAGCUGGUUAGAGCGCCAGGUUGUGGCCCUGGAGGCCGUGGGUUCAAAUCCCAUCGGGCUCCCA
rnacentral:tRNA from 1 species